AAUCAACGCUGGCGGCGUGCCUAACACAUGCAAGUCGAACGCGACUGGGGCUUCGGCCUCAGUUGAGUGGCGAACGGGUGAGUAACACGUGGGUGACCUACCUUCGAAUGGGGGAUAACGUCCCGAAGGGACGCUAAUACCGCAUAACAUCCUGCCUUUGAACAGGCGGGAGGAUACAAAGCCGGGGAUCGCAAGACCUGGCGUUUGAAGAGGGGCCUGCGUCCGAUUAGCUAGUUGGUGAGGUAACGGCUCACCAAGGCGACGAUCGGUAGCCGGCCUGAGAGGGCGGACGGCCACACUGGGACUGAGACACGGCCAGACUCCUACGGGAGGCAGCAGUGGGGAAUUGUUCGCAAUGGGCGCAAGCCUGACGACGCAACGCCGCGUGGAGGAUGAAGGUCUUCGGAUGGUAAACUCCUGUUG
rnacentral:rRNA from 1 species